rnacentral:rRNA from 1 species
AUUGAACGCUGGCGGCAUGCCUUACACAUGCAAGUCGAACGGCAGCAUGAUCUAGCUUGCUAGAUUGAUGGCGAGUGGCGAACGGGUGAGUAAUACAUCGGAACGUGCCCUGUAGUGGGGGAUAACUAGUCGAAAGAUUAGCUAAUACCGCAUACGACCUGAGGGUGAAAGUGGGGGACCGCAAGGCCUCAUGCUAUAAGAGCGGCCGAUGUCUGAUUAGCUAGUUGGUGAGGUAAAGGCUCACCAAGGCGACGAUCAGUAGCUGGUCUGAAGGGAAGAUCAGCCACACUGGGACUGGGACACGGCCCAGACUCCUACGGGAGGCAGCAGUGGGGAAUUUUGGACAAUGGGGGCAACCCUGAUCCAGCAAUGCCGCGUGUGUGAGGAAGGCCUUCGGGUUGUAAAGCACUUUUGUCCGGAAAGAAAUCGCACUUACUAAUAUUAGGUGUGGAUGACGGUACCGGAAGAAUAAGGACCGGCUAACUACGUGCCAGCAGCCGCCGUAAAAC